GAAAUACACUACUUAAUAUUCCCAGGCGUAAUCUCUUACAACCAUUCCACCCCAGACACUGUCACCCUGGUUGCCAUUGACACGCCUGGCAGAGUUUGUCCCUGCACAGUCUGCGGGAAGAAAUUCCGAGCCCGAUGUUUUGUCUGGCCAGGCACA